rnacentral:rRNA from 1 species
GGACCCGCACAAGCGGUGGAGCAUGUGGUUUAAUUCGAAGCAACGCGAAGAACCUUACCUGGUCUUGACAUCCCUUUGACCGGUCCGUAACAGGGCCUUCCCUUCGGGGCAGAGGAGACAGGUGGUGCAUGGUUGUCGUCAGCUCGUGUCGUGAGAUGUUGGGUUAAGUCCCGCAACGAGCGCAACCCUUAUCUUUAGUAGCCAGCAGUACGGCUGGGCACUCUAGAGAGACUGCCAGGGAUAACCUGGAGGAAGGUGGGGAUGACGUCAAAUCAUCAUGCCCCUUAUGAUCAGGGCUACACACGUGCUACAAUGGCGUAAACAAAGAGAGGCAAAGUCGUGAGAUGGAGCAAACCUCAAAAAUAACGUCUCAGUUCGGAUUGUAGUCUGCAACUCGACUACAUGAAGCUGGAAUCGCUAGUAAUCGCAAAUCAGAAUGUUGCGGUGAAUACGUUCCCGGGUCUU